GAUGAACGCUGGCGGCGUGCCUAAUACAUGCAAGUAGAACGCUGAAGCUUGGUGCUUGCACCGAGCGGAUGAGUUGCGAACGGGUGAGUAACGCGUAGGUAACCUGCCUCUUAGCGGGGGAUAACUAUUGGAAACGAUAGCUAAUACCGCAUAAAAGUCGACAUCGCAUGAUGUUGACUUGAAAGGUGCAAUUGCAUCACUAAGAGAUGGACCUGCGUUGUGUUAGCUAGUUGGUGAGGUAACGGCUCACCAAGGCGACGAUACAUAGCCGACCUGAGAGGGUGAUCGGCCACACUGGGACUGAGACACGGCCCAGACUCCUACGGGAGGCAGCAGUAGGGAAUCUUCGGCAAUGGGGGCAACCCUGACCGAGCAACGCCGCGUGAGUGAAGAAGGUUUUCGGAUCGUAAAGCUUUGUUGUAAGAGAAGAACGAGUGUGAGAGUGGAAAGUUCACACUGUGACGGUAACUUACCAGAAAGGGACGGCUAACUACGUGCCAGCAGCCGCGGUAAUACGUAGGUCCCGAGCGUUAUCCGGAUUUAUUGGGCGUAAAGCGAGCGCAGGCGGUUAGAUAAGUCUGAAGUUAAAGGCUGUGGCUUAACCAUAGUACGCUUUGGAAACUGUUUAACUUGAGUGCAGAAGGGGAGAGUGGAAUUCCAUGUGUAGCGGUGAAAUGCGUAGAUAUAUGGAGGAACACCGGUGGCGAAAGCGGCUCUCUGGUCUGUAACUGACGCUGAGGCUCGAAAGCGUGGGGAGCAAACAGG
rnacentral:rRNA from 1 species